GGGCCCGCACAAGCGGUGGAGUAUGUGGUUUAAUUCGAUGCAACGCGAAGAACCUUACCAGGGUUUGACAUCCUGCGAAUCUCUUGGAAACGAGAGAGUGCCUUCGGGAGCGCAGUGACAGGUGGUGCAUGGCUGUCGUCAGCUCGUGUCGUGAGAUGUUGGGUUAAGUCCCGCAACGAGCGCAACCCACGUCUUUAGUUGCCAGCAUUUAGUUGGGCACUCUAGAGAGACCGCCGGUGAUAAACCGGAGGAAGGUGAGGACGACGUCAAGUCAUCAUGGCCCUUACGAGUAGGGCUACACACGUGCUACAAUGGGGAAUACAGACGGACGCUAAGCCGCGAGGUGGUGCU
rnacentral:rRNA from 1 species